GACGAACGCUGGCGGCGUGCCUAAUACAUGCAAGUUGAGCGCUGAAGGUUGGUACUUGUACCAACUGGAUGAGCAGCGAACGGGUGAGUAACGCGUGGGGAAUCUGCCUUUGAGCGGGGGACAACAUUUGGAAACGAAUGCUAAUACCGCAUAAAAACUUUAAACACAAGUUUUAAGAUUGAAAGAUGCAAUUGCAUCACUCAAAGAUGAUCCCGCGUUGUAUUAGCUAGGUGGGUAGGUAAAGGCUCAACAAGGCGAUGAUACAUAGCCGACCUGGGAAGGUGGACGGCCAAAUUGGGGCUGGGAAACGGCCCCAACUCCUACGGGGAGCCGCAGUAGGGGAACUUCGGCAAAAGGAGAAAGGCUGAACGAGCAACGCCGCGGGAGGGAAGAAGGGUUUCGGAUCGUAAAACUCUGUUGGUAGAGGAGAACGUUGGUGAGAGUGGAAAGCGCAUCAAGUGACGGUAACUACCCAGAAAGGGACGGCUAACUACGUG
rnacentral:rRNA from 1 species